rnacentral:rRNA from 1 species
AGGCAUGCGAGUCGCGCGAGAUGNAGCAAUACAGGAAAGCGGCGAAAGGGAGAGGACAACAUAGGAAUCUGCCCUGGGGUCGGGGAUAGCGUCGGGAAACUGACGGUAAUACCCGAUAACAUCUGCGGAUCAAAGGAGCAAUUCGCCCUGGGAUGAGCCUAUGCCCCAUUAGCUAGUUGGCGGUGUAAUGGACCACCAAGGCUGUGAUGGGUAGCUGGUGUGAGAGCACGACCAGCCUCACUGGCACUGAGACACUGGCCAGACACCUACGGGUGGCUGCAGUCGAGAAUCUUCGGCAAUGGACGAAAGUCUGACCGAGCGACGCCGCGUGCGGGAUGAAGGUCUUCGGAUUGUAAACCGCUGUCGAGGGGGAUUAAGGGCAACUUGAAUGAACCCUGGAGGAAGGGGAGGCUAAGCUCGUGCCAGCAGCCGCGGUAAGACGAGCUCCCCAAACGUUAUUCGGUAUCACUGGGCUUAAAGAGUUCGUAGGCGGCGAAGUAGGUGAGGUGUGAAAGCCCUCGGCUCAACCGAGGAACUGCGCUUCAAACCGCUUUGCUAGAGGGAGAUAGGGGUAAGCGGAACAGAUGGUGGAGCGGUGAAAUGCAUUGAUAUCAUCUGGAACACUGGUGGCGAAAGCGGCUUACUGGAUCUUUUCUGACGCUGAGGAACGAAAGCUAGGGUAGCGAACGGGAUUAGAUAC